AUUUUGUUCAUAUUGUGUGUUUAGUCUGGUAAGUCUAAAAUAGCAUUGCAGAAUCAAUUUAAACCCCAAUCUAUUUACUCGAAAUUAAUUUUUUCAUUUUUUUGUUUACUUGGGUUUUGUUUCGCUGCAGUAAUACCUGAAGAAUAGGCUAAAGCAUUUUGUGGCUGAAAAGGCAGAAGGGAGAAACCCAUAUCCACACAAUUUCCAUGUCACUAUGUCUAUUGAACAAUGUAUCAAGGAAUAUGAAGGUUUAAGCGACGGGUAACACCUUCGGGAUGUUUCUGUGUCUUUGGCUGGCGGAGUCAUGCACAAACGUGCCUCUGGUGCAAAGCGUGUCAAUGUAGGAAUAUCUUUGAUGGAUAUUCAGACUCAGUAUUCACACCCUUCAAUCAUUCAAUGUUGGAGCUGAUUUAGUAAAUCAACCGGAAUAAUGGAUUUCAAGGGUGGUGCAAUAAAAUGUUUGAGAUCUAAGCCUCACCAUGACAAGUGGUUGAAAGCUACUGAAAAGUAUGAGCUCAAGGUUCAUAAUCUGUUUGAUCAUUCGGCAAUACAUAGCUAUAUGAGCUCAUUUUAAUCCAACUGUCCUCAAUCUCAUCCACAAGCUGGCAACGCUCAAAGGCACCGAGGCGGCCUACGGCACUGCCAGUGGGAUGUCCGCCAUUGCAUGAGGACACACACAUACAACAACUGAGCUCAUAUUUUACUAAAAUGAGCUCAUAUAGUGAGGCAAUGCUUAUAAAGUUUGUAUCUUUGGUUAAUUUUGUAAGUUGGGUUAGUUCAAUUUUUUGAUAUUUUUUGUUUCUGUUUUUCAGGGUUUGUUUCUGGAGAGCCUAACCUUAUCAGUAAGGACCCUAGAGUCUUUUGUCCAAGCUUGGAGAAUAAUAUAGCUCCAACCUAUGAAUUGGUUCGUACAUUCUUUCACUCUCACAAGGAUACUAUUGCUUGUGAAUUUCAUAAUCCAUCUUUCUUUGGAGACAACAAUGUGCCAGAAAAUAUCAGAUUGCUCAUUGAGAAUGGAGUAGCCGACGCAAACAUUGCCAGAAUUCUUUGAAUCAGGAACCGGACAUUGCAGCUUUCAUUGGGAAAACAUCAGUAACCAAAACCAGGUGGAAGCAGAAAGUUGAUGCCUUUAACAAGUGGGGUUGGUCUGAUGAAGAUGUCACUGAAGCAUUUAAAAAGCAACCUUAUCUAUCACAUCAGUGCUGGUAAAUCCUAAUUGGACAUCGAGUUUUGGGAGGGCUUGAGGAAACGGUUUCUUUCUAUGGAAUGUGCACUUUUUCGCUAUCGUUUUCGUUUUCUAACUACUGAAGCUCAGAUAGAA